GACGAACGCUGGCGGCGUGCUUAACACAUGCAAGUCGAACGGAAAGGCCCUGCUUUUGUGGGGUGCUCGAUUGGCGAACGGGUGAGUAACACGUGAGUAACCUGCCCUUGACUUUGGGAUAACUUCAGGAAACUGGGGCUAAUACCGGAUAGGAGCUCCUGCUGCAUGGUGGGGGUUGGAAAGUUUCGGCGGUUGGGGAUGGACUCGCGGCUUAUCAGCUUGUUGGUGGGGUAGUGGCUUACCAAGGCUUUGACGGGUAGCCGGCCUGAGAGGGUGACCGGCCACAUUGGGACUGAGAUACGGCCCAGACUCCUACGGGAGGCAGCAGUGGGGAAUAUUGCACAAUGGGCGGAAGCCUGAUGCAGCAGCGCCGCGUGCGGGAUGACGGCCUUCGGGUUGUAAACCGCUUUCGCCUGUGACGAAGCGGGAGUGACGGUAAUGGGUAAAGAAGCACCGGCUAACUACGUG
rnacentral:rRNA from 1 species